UCAUCAGUGAGGUUGAUCCUUACCUGUUCCUCCUUAUGGGGAAACAGACAUGAUGAAUGGGGGAGGCUGAGUAUGUGAUUAUACAGUUCCCCUGCACCACCCUGACCGACAACCGGGGGGGGGGGUGUCAUUCUGAU